rnacentral:piRNA from 1 species
UGGAGUCUUAUUGCUGGCUGUGCCAGG